rnacentral:rRNA from 1 species
AGUGAACGCUGGCGGUAGGCCUAACACAUGCAAGUCGAACGGCAGCACAGUAAGAGCUUGCUCUUACGGGUGGCGAGUGGCGGACGGGUGAGGAAUACAUCGGAAUCUACUUUUUCGUGGGGGAUAACGUAGGGAAACUUACGCUAAUACCGCAUACGACCUACGGGUGAAAGCAGGGGAUCUUCGGACCUUGCGCGAUUGAAUGAGCCGAUGUCGGAUUAGCUAGUUGGCGGGGUAAAGGCCCACCAAGGCGACGAUCCGUAGCUGGUCUGAGAGGAUGAUCAGCCACACUGGAACUGGGACACGGUCCAGACUCCUACGGGAGGCAGCAGUGGGGAAUAUUGGACAAUGGGCGCAGGCCUGAUCCAGCCAUACCGCGUGGGUGAAGAAGGCCUUCGGGUUGUAAAGCCCUUUUGUUGGGAAAGAGAAGCAGCAGGUUAAUACCCCGCUGUUCUGACGGUACCCAAAGAAUAAGCACCGGCUAACUUCGUG